rnacentral:rRNA from 1 species
AUUGAACGCUGGCGGCAGGCCUAACACAUGCAAGUCGAGCGAGCGGCGGACGGGUGCGUACUGCCUAGUAAUCUGCCUGUUAGUGGGGGAUACCGUCCGGAAACGGUCGCUAAUACCGCAUACUAUCAGCUGUGCCCAGAUGGGAUUAGCUAGUAGGUGGGGUAAUGGCGUACCUAGGCGACGAUCCCUAGCUGGUCUGAGAGGAUGACCAGCCAAACUGGAACUGAGACACGGUCCAGAAUCCUACGGGAGGCAGCAGUGGGGAAUAUUGCACAAUGGGCGCAAGCCUGAUUCAGCCAUGCCGCGUGAAUGAAGAAGGUCUUCGGGUUGUAAAGUACUGUCAGCGGAGAGGCGUUACCCGCAGAAGAAGCACCGGCUAACUCCGUGCCAGCAGCCGCGGUAAUAC